CCAGCAUCAGGAGCAAAGACAGCAGCUUUACAGAGACUGCUAACCAGCUCCCACAAUCAUGUAAAGUCAAAUCUCUAUAACACACACACAUCAUAGCUUGAUUAAUGUUUCCAUCAAGAGAAUGGCACUACAUAUUUUGUAGAGGCAAAAAUAAUACAGAUUUUGCCUAAUGGAAUGCUUCCAAGGUUACUGUGAGGAUGAAUGGACUCGCAUUCAAAAAGCACUUCGGAAUCCUAGACAGGCUGAAGUGAAGAGAGAAAAUCAAGGCUCAGAGAGAUGAUCUGACUUGGACAAUGUUCGAGUGACACAGCUGGAUUCACACCCAGAUCUCUCUGACUUGAAAGUACCUGUUGUCCAGAAAAAAAGACAUAAGUGGAAAAAUCGAUGAGACUUGAAAAUAGGAGCUUAGUUGAGUUAAUAGUAAUGAACCAGUGUUGGAUGGUUUUGAUCACUGCAGGAUGGUUAUGUGAGCUGUGAAGAGUAGAGAAAUUUGGGUGAAGGUUAUGUGGGAACCCUGCACUAUUUUGCACCUUUUUGUAACUCUAAAAUUAUUUCAAAAUAAAAAGUUACAGCCAGGCAUGGUGGCUCACGCUUGUAAUCCCAGCACUUUGGGAGGCGG